rnacentral:rRNA from 1 species
AAGAAAGUAAGAAAGGGCGUAUGGCGGAUGCCUAGGCUCACGGAGGCGAUGAAGGACGUGAUAAGCUGCGAUAAGCUUCGGGUAGGUGCAAAUAACCUUUGAUCCGAAGAUUUCCGAAUGGGACAACCUAGCCGUCUGAAGGACGGUUACUCUUACCAAUGUAAGAGAGCUAACGCAGGGAACUGAAACAUCUUAGUACCUGUAGGAAGAGAAAAUAAAUUAAUGAUUCCCCCAGUAGUGGCGAGCGAACGGGGAACAGCCCAAACCAGUGGCGUCGCAAGGCGUGGCUGGG